rnacentral:rRNA from 1 species
GACGAACGCUGGCGGCGUGCUUAACACAUGCAAGUCGAACGGAAAGGCCCUGCUUUUGUGGGGUGCUCGAGUGGCGAACGGGUGAGUAACACGUGAGUAACCUGCCCUUGACUUUGGGAUAACUUCAGGAAACUGGGGCUAAUACCGGAUAGGAGCUCCUGCUGCAUGGUGGGGGUUGGAAAGUUUCGGCGGUUGGGGAUGGACUCGCGGCUUAUCAGCUUGUUGGUGGGGUAGUGGCUUACCAAGGCUUUGACGGGUAGCCGGCCUGAGAGGGUGACCGGCCACAUUGGGACUGAGAUACGGCCCAGACGCCUACGGGAGGCAGCAGUGGGGAAUAGUGCACAAUGGGCGGAAGCCUGAUGCAGAAACGCCGCGUGCGGGAUGACGGCCUUCGGGUUGUAAACCGCUUUCGCCUGUGACGAAGCGUGAGUGACGGUAAUGGGUAAAGAAGCACCGGCUAACUACGU